rnacentral:rRNA from 1 species
GGAGGAAAAGAAACUAACAAGGAUUCCCCUAGUAACUGCGAGUGAAGCGGGAAAAGCUCAAAUUUAAAAUCUGGUGGUCUCUGGCCAUCCGAGUUGUAAUCUAGAGAAGUGUUACCCGCGUCGGACCGUGUAUAAGUCUNCUGGAAUGGAGCGUCAUAGAGGGUGAGAAUCCCGUCUUUGACACGGACUACCGAGGCUUUGUGGUAUGCUCUCAAAGAGUCGAGUUGUUUGGGAAUGCAGCUCAAAAUGGGUGGUAAAUUCCAUCUAAAGCUAAAUAUUGGCGAGAGACCGAUAGCGAACAAGUACCGUGAGGGAAAGAUGAAAAGAACUUUGGAAAGAGAGUUAAACAGUACGUGAAAUUGCUGAAAGGGAAACGCUUGAAGUCAGUCGCGUUGGCCGGGAAUCAGCCUUGCUUUUGCUUGGUGUACUUUCUGGUUGACGGGCCAGCAUCAGUUUUGACCGGUGGAAAAAGUUCAGGGGAAUGUGGCAUCUUCGGGUGUGUUAUAGCCCUUGUUCGUAUACAUCGGUUGGGACUGAGGAACUCAGCACGCCGCAAGGCCGGGUCUUUGACCACGUUCGUGCUUAGGAUGCUGGCAUAAUGGCUUUAAUCGACCCGUCUUGAAACACGGACCAAGGAGUCUAACAUGCCUGCGAGUGUUUGGGUGGAAAACCCGAGCGCGUAAUGAAAGUGAAAGUUGAGAUCCUUGUCAUGGGGAGCAUCGACGCCCGGACCUGACGUUUUCUGACGGCCCUGCGGUAGAGCAUGUAUGUUGGGACCCGAAAGAUGGUGAACUAUGCCUGAAUAGGGUGAAGCCAGAGGAAACUCUGGUGGAGGCUCGUAGCGAUUCUGACGUGCAAAUCGAUCGUCAAAUUUGGGUAUAGGGGCGAAAGACUAAUCGAACCAUCUAGUA